rnacentral:rRNA from 1 species
AUGAGCAGGCCACCAUGGAAGGAUACAUUAGUUGGUGAAUCUGAGUAUGUCGAUGAUCACAGGUCUAGUAUGACAGUUGUGAAGCUGAAUGGAAGAUUGAACAAGUGUGGUGUCAUCAGUCCAUGCUUGGACCUUGGAGAUCGAGUCCUGGAGUGCAAGGCUGCUCCCCUUACCUCAGCCGCAUGUCAGUUCGCCCUCGCCCGAGUCCCGGGAUGGAGGGAGUAG